GUUUCCAGUUAUUUUAUCUGAAUAUUUGCUUCUCAUUACCUUGAAUUAGGUAGCUUUGAUUCUCAAAUGGGUAGAACUGAUCAAAAACUAAUUUUCUGGUCAGGUUAAAUGUGAAUUCUAUAGCCUACACAAUAGUUAAUGAGAUCCAAGAAACUUAAAAAUGCAAUUAGAAAAGUGGGCCAAAAAGUUGAACUUCUAAACACAAAUUUUAGACAAGGUUUAAAGUGACUGAAAAUAUUUCUUAUCGCUUCCAAGGUUAUCGAGACAUUAGAGUUAUCGAUCCUCAAAACUUAAAACUAUUAUGUUGGCACUAAGGAGGUGACACACGCACUCAAUUGAAUGUAUAUACUCAUUGGGGUGUCGAAUUCUUACAAAUAUGAAAUAUCAAGUGUCUACUCUCUAAAAUGACCCUUUGCUGCAGGGGAUCAGGACAUCAACAAGAAAAAACUUUAUUGCUUUUGCUAAUAUUUGCCUUCAAUUGAGUGUAAAAAACAGCAUUUUUCUCUUAUAAUGAUAAUAAUGUCGUUUUGACUUCA